rnacentral:lncRNA from 1 species
CGGGGUAGGGGUGGACGUGGACUCCAGUGUCCGGCUCCGUGGCGCUCGCGACGGCUUGGGAAGCGGCGGAGGAAGGAGGAGGACGAGCGCCCAGGCCGGCCGCGGGCUCCACCGCGGCCCGGAAGGAAUCCAGGCGGCCUCGGAGGAGGUGAGAGCCGCGGUGGGGGCGGGCCGGGGCGGCGCGCGGCCGGGCGACGCCUGCGGGCGGGGCCUGCUGUGUCCCAGCAGGGCACCCUGCGCCCUCUCAUCCCGGGGGGACGGCGGACGGCUGGCGGGGCCCCGGCUCCCUCUCUUCCGCGCUCUCGCACCCGCGGCGGCUCCAGGCCGGGUGGCGGCGGAGAUGUUUGCCAACGCUAAUAUACCUGAUGAAAUACCUGCCUUUUUUCUGCUCAAGAUGCUGGUUUAA